rnacentral:rRNA from 1 species
GAUGAACGCUAGCGGCGGGCUUAAUACAUGCAAGUCGAGGGGUGGUAGCAAUACUACACCGGCGCACGGGUGCGUAACGCGUAUGCAAUCUACCUUUAUCUGGGGGAUAGCCCGGGGAAACCCGGAUUAAUACCGCAUAACAAAUUGAUUGGCAUCAAUUGAUUUUAAAAGAUUUAUCGGAUAGAGAUGAGCAUGCGUAAGAUUAGAUAGUUGGUGGGGUAACGGCUCACCAAGUCUACGAUCUUUAGGGGCUCUGAGAGGAGAAUCCCCCACCCGGGCACUGAGAUACGGGCCAGACUCCUACGGGAGGCAGCAGUAGGGAAUAUUGGGCAAUGGGCGCAAGCCUGACCCAGCCACGCCGCGUGCAGGAAGAAGGCCCUCUGGGUUGUAAACUGCUUUUGACCGGGAAGAAAAGAACCUUUGCGAAGGGAGUUGACGGUACCGGCAGAAUAAGCCACGGCUAACUACGUGCCAGCCGCCGCAGUAACAC